UGACUUGUUGUAUAGGGGCCUUUCCCAAUU
rnacentral:sRNA from 1 species